GGGGAGAUAAGUUAGGUUGUAAACUGCAUGACUCAUAUUCAUGUAACACGGUUCUCGUUUUCCCCU
rnacentral:tRNA from 2 species